rnacentral:misc_RNA from 1 species
CACCACUUUAUUUUUCUUGCUACUCUCAACAUCACUUUCCACACACCCCAUCUUCAGAUCAUCAUCUGAUGACUCCCAACCGUGCUCAGUUAAUUCCUUCUUCGUCAUAUUCCCCAUCAUCCGCAGCUUCCCUUUUCCAUCCAUUACUUUUGGGUGAAGCAAAACUUAGCAAAGUGAAAAGCAAAAGCAAAAUUUGAGUUCCAAAGGAGAGGAUUUAGGGAGCAAAAGUAUAUGAAAAAUAAGAGGAGAGACAGUACAGGUGGGAAUUAUAGUAGGGAAGGAAAAGUUGAAAAUGAGGGAAGACCU